rnacentral:lncRNA from 1 species
GCAGGACGGGCAGGAGCGCACUGGAAUGCACUGGGAAUUGUGCUGGGAAUGCACUGGGGAUGUACUGGGAACUGCACUGGGGAUGUACUGGGAAUUGUGCUGGGAAUACACUGGGAAUGCACUGGGAAUUGUGCUGGGAAUGCACUGGGGAUGUACUGGGAAUGCACUAGGAAUUGUGCUGGGAAUGCACUGGGGAUGUACUGGGAAUGCACUGGGAAUUGUGCUGGGAAUGCACUGGAAUGCACUGGGAAUUGUGCUGGGAAUGCACUGGGGAUGUACUGGGAAUGCACUGGGAAUUGUGCUGGGAAUGCACUGGAAUGCACUGGGAAUGCACUGGGAAUUGUGCUGGGAAUGCACUGGGGAUGUACUGGGAAUGCACUGGGGAUGCACUGGGAAUACACUGGGAAUGCACUGGGGAUGCACUGGGAAUGUACUGGGAAUUGUGCUGGGAAUGCACUGGGAAUGUACUGGGAAUUGUGCUGGGAAUGCACUGGGAACUGCACUGGGAAUGCACUGGGAACUGCACUGGGAACAGCACUGGGAAUUGCACUGGGAAUACACUGGGAAUGUACUGGGAACUGCACUAGGAAUGCUGCAGGCCCUAAGAAACACUGGUGGGGGUGUGCAGACACUGUUCUGUGCCAGCUGGGAUCCCUCUCCAGGACAGAUCCCUUUUCCAGCUGGGAUCAGUCUCCAGGACAGAUCCCUCUCCAGCUGGGAUCCCUCUCCAGGACAGAUCCCUUUUCCAGCAGGGAUCCCUUUUCCAGCAGGGAUCCCUCUCCACCUGGGAUCCCUUUUCCAGCAGGGAUCCCUCUCCAGCAGCACCCCCACAGCUCUGGGUUAUGCCUGUAAACCACGAGGACAAACUCCACAUUAACGUGACCACAAAAUUAAAGCCGAGGGCUGCACCGAGCGUGAACCAAAACCGGCAGGGCUGCGAGAGCCACUCCUAAAAAUAGGCUCAGCCUGGGGAGGCACAGAGCAGGCUGCUGGCACGGGCUGGCCCGGGAGGGAGCUGGGGGACAGGGGCACGAGGGCAGGGCAGGAGGGCAGCG